rnacentral:rRNA from 1 species
AGUGAACGCUGGCGGUAGGCCUGACACAUGCGAGUCGAACGGCAGCACAGUAAGAGCUUGCUCUUACGGGUGGCGAGUGGCGGACGGGUGAGGAAUACAUCGGAAUCUACUUUUUCGUGGGGGAUAACGUAGGGAAACUUACGCUAAUACCGCAUACGACCUACGGGUGAAAGCAGGGGAUCUUCGGACCUUGCGCGAUUGAAUGAGCCGAUGUCGGAUUAGCUAGUUGGCGGGGUAAAGGCCCACCAAGGCGACGAUCCGUAGCUGGUCUGAGAGGAUGAUCAGCCACACUGGAACUGAGACACGGUCCAGACUCCUACGGGAGGCAGCAGUGGGGAAUAUUGGACAAUGGGCGCAAGCCUGAUCCAGCCAUACCGCGUGGGUGAAGAAGGCCUUCGGGUUGUAAAGCCCUUUUGUUGGGAAAGAAAAGCAGCAGGUUAAUACCCCGCUGUUCUGACGGUACCCAAAGAAUAAGCACCGGCUAACUUCGUG